rnacentral:rRNA from 1 species
GAUGAACGCUGGCGGCGUGCCUAAUACAUGCAAGUCGAGCGAACAGACGAGGAGCUUGCUCCUUCGACGUUAGCGGCGGACGGGUGAGUAACACGUAGGUAACCUACCUAUAAGACUGGGAUAACUUCGGGAAACCGGAGCUAAUACCGGAUAAUAUUUCGAACCGCAUGGUUCGAUAGUGAAAGAUGGCUUUGCUAUCACUUAUAGAUGGACCUGCGCCGUAUUAGCUAGUUGGUAAGGUAACGGCUUACCAAGGCAACGAUACGUAGCCGACCUGAGAGGGUGAUCGGCCACACUGGAACUGAGACACGGUCCAGACUCCUACGGGAGGCAGCAGUAGGGAAUCUUCCGCAACGGGCGAAAGCCUGACGGAGCAACGCCGCGUGAGUGAUGAAGGUCUUCGGAUCGUAAAACUCUGUUAUUAGGGAAGAACAAACGUGUAAGUAACUGUGCACGUCUUGACGGUACCUAAUCAGAAAGCCACGGCUAACUACGUG